rnacentral:rRNA from 1 species
UACGUAGGGUCCGAGCGUUGUCCGGAGUUACUGGGCGUAAAGCGCGCGUAGGCGGCGGUGCUGGCCCGGCGUGAAAGCCCCCGGCUCAACCGGGGAGGGUCGUCGGGGACCGCACCGCUUGAGGGCGGUAGGGGCUGGUGGAAUGCCUGGUGUAGUGGUGAAAUGCGUAGAGAUCAGGCGGAACACCCGUGGCGAAGGCGGCCAGCUGGGCCGUCCCUGACGCUGAGGCGCGAAAGCUAGGGGAGCGAACGGG